rnacentral:rRNA from 1 species
AUUGAACGCUGGCGGCAGGCCUAACACAUGCAAGUCGAGCGGAACGGCGGACGGGUGCGUGAUGCCUAUGAGUCUACCUGGUAGUGGGGGAUAACGUCCGGAAAGGGGCGCUAAUACCGCCUCCUUUCAGAUUCACCUAGGUAGGAUUAGCUAGUUGGUGGGGUAAAGGCCUACCAAGGCGACGAUCCCUAACUGGUCUGAGAGGAUGAUCAGUCACACUGGAACUGAGACACGGUCCAGACUCCUACGGGAGGCAGCAGUGGGGAAUAUUGGACAAUGGGCGAAAGCCUGAUGCAGCCAUGCCGCGUGUGUGAAGAAGGUCUUCGGAUUGUAAAGCACUUUAAGCUGGGAGGCGUUACCCGCAGAAGAAGCACCGGCUAACUCCGUGCCAGCAGCCGCGGUAAUUC